GAGCAAAGGCGUCGUACCUUUUAUAAAAUGGCGUGAUUUGCAUUGAAGGUUGGCAUUAAUAUUUAGCGAUUCUCCGUGCCCGUCAAUUUUGAAUUUCGUUUUGAUCGUGGCCUCGAACAAAUCGAUACAUC